GCGCCCGGUGCGCUGGGUGACGGUUACUUCGUUUCUGGUACGAGAGGUCCGGGUUCGACUCCCGGCGGCCGGG
rnacentral:tRNA from 1 species